UACAGAGGUCUCGAGCGUUGUUCGGAUUCAUUGGGCGUAAAGGGUGCGUAGGUGGCUAGGUAAGUCGGAUGUGAAAUCUCGGGGCUCAACCCCGAAACUGCAUUCGAUACUGCCUGGCUAGAGUACUGGAGAGGAGAUUGGAAUUUACGGUGUAGCAGUGAAAUGCGUAGAUAUCGUAAGGAAGACCAGUGGCGAAGGCGAGUUUCUGGACGGUAACUGACGCUGAGGCACGAAGGCCAGGGGAGCAAACGGGG
rnacentral:rRNA from 1 species